rnacentral:rRNA from 1 species
GACGAACGCUGGCGGCGUGCUUAACACAUGCAAGUCGAACGGAAAGGCCCUGCUUUUGUGGGGUGCUCGAGUGGCGAACGGGUGAGUAACACGUGAGUAAACUGCCCUUGACUUUGGGAUAACUUCAGGAAACUGGGGCUAAUACCGGAUAGGAGCUCCUGCUGCAUGGUGGGGGUUGGAAAGUUUCGGCGGUUGGGGAUGGACUCGCGGCUUAUCAGCUUGUUGGUGGGGUAGUGGCUUACCAAGGCUUUGACGGGUAGCCGGCCUGAGAGGGUGACCGGCCACAUUGGGACUGAGAUACGGCCCAGACUCCUACGGGAGGCAGCAGUGGGGAAUAGUGCACGAUGGGCGGAAGCCUGAUGCAGCAACGCCGCGUGCGGGAUGACGGCCGUCGGGUUGUAAACCGCUUUCGCCUGUGACGAAGCGUGAGUGACGGUAAUGGGUAAAGAAGCACCGGCUAACUACGUG